GCUGCGAUAGCUGAGCUGGUAGAGCAUCUGCCCUUUAGGCAGAAUGCCGCUGGUUCGAUUCCAGAACGCAGCU
rnacentral:tRNA from 1 species